rnacentral:rRNA from 1 species
CCCGCUGAACUUAAGCAUAUUAAUAAGCGGAGGAAAAGAAACUAACAAGGAUUCCCCUAGUAACUGCGAGUGAAGAGGGAACAGCUCAAAUUUGUAAUCUGACAGGUUCGCCUGUCCGAGUUGUAAUUUGAAGAAGCGUUUUCUACACUGUCGAUUGGUACAAGUCCCUUGGAAAAGGGCCGCAGAGAGGGUGACACGCCCGUCGUACCAAGAGACGAGUGUUAUAUGAUACGCUUUCUAAGAGUCGGGUUGUUUGGGAAUGCAGCCCAAAGACGGUGGUAAAUUCCAUCUAAAGCUAAAUAUCAGCAAGAGACCGAUAGCAAACAAGUACCGUGAGGGAAAGAUGAAAAGGACUUUGAAAAGAGAGUUAAAUAGUACGUGAAACUGUUGAAAGGGAAACGCUUGAAACCAGAGGGAUGUAUCGUGAAAUCAGUCGUGCUAAUAUGUGCGGUGCUCUUUCGCGAUACUCAGUCAACAUCGGUUUAAGAGGUCGGAAAUUGACCAUUGGAAGGUAGCUCGCCUUACGGGGCAAGUGUUAUAGCCAAGGUUGGUACGAUCUAGUGGACCGAGGCAUGCGGCGUGAGCUUUGCUGCUGACCCUUUGUUAUUGAAGCGAGUGUUAUGUAGACAGUUGUCAUGACUGACUAUAUGAUAUGAGUGACGAGGCAAAGAAAGUUGGACAUUCACGCCAAGGUUGUUGACGAGUUGGUUUUAAACGACCCGUCUUGAAACACGG